CACGUAGGGCGCGAGCGUUGUCCGGAAUUAUUGGGCGUAAAGAGCUCGUAGGCGGUCUGUCGCGUCGGCUGUGAAAACUCGGGGCUCAACUCCGAGCUCGCAGUCGAUACGGGCAGGCUAGAGUUCGGCAGGGGAGACUGGAAUUCCUGGUGUAGCGGUGAAAUGCGCAGAUAUCAGGAGGAACACCGGUGGCGAAGGCGGGUCUCUGGGCCGAUACUGACGCUGAGGAGCGAAAGCGUGGGGAGCGAACAGG
rnacentral:rRNA from 1 species